rnacentral:snRNA from 1 species
GUGCUCGCUUCGGCAGCACAAAUACUCAAAUUGGAACGAUACAGAGAAGAUUAGCAUGGCCCCUGGGCAAGGAUGACAUGCAAAUUCGUGAAGCUGUCCAUAUUUUU